rnacentral:rRNA from 1 species
CAUUACAGUGUUCUCUGCCCUCACGGGUAGAAACGCCCACCCUUGUAUAUUAUAUCUUUGUUGCUUUGGCAGGCCGCCCUCGGGCACCGGCUCCGGCUGGAUCGCGCCUGCCAGAGGAAACCCAAACUCUGAAUGUUAGUGUCGUCUGAGUACUAUCUAAUAGUUAAAACUUUCAACAACGGAUCUCUUGGUUCUGGCAUCGAUGAAGAACGCAGCGAAAUGCGAUAAGUAAUGUGAAUUGCAGAAUUCAGUGAAUCAUCGAAUCUUUGAACGCACAUUGCGCCCCGUGGUAUUCCGCGGGGCAUGCCUGUUCGAGCGUCAUUUAAACCAAUCCAGCUUGCUGGGUCUUGGGCCUCGCCUCUGGGCGGGCCUUAAAGUCAGUGGCGGCGCCACCCGGCUCUAAGCGUAGUAAUUCUUCUCGCUACAGAGCCCCGGGCGGAGGCUUGCCAGGCAACCCCUAAUCUUCAAAGGUUGACCUCGGAUCAGGUAGGGAUACCC